rnacentral:rRNA from 1 species
AACGAACGCUGGCGGCAUGCCUAACACAUGCAAGUCGAACGAGAUCUUCGGGUCUAGUGGCGCACGGGUGCGUAACGCGUGGGAAUCUGCCCUUUGGUUCGGAAUAACAGUUGGAAACGACUGCUAAUACCGGAUGAUGACGAAAGUCCAAAGAUUUAUCGCCAGAGGAUGAGCCCGCGUAGGAUUAGUUAGUUGUUGUGGUAAAGGCGCACCAAGGCGACGAUCCUUGGCUGGUCUGAGAGGAUGAUCAGCCACACUGGGACUGAGACACGGACCAGACGCCUACGGGAGGCAGCAGUUGGUAAUAUUGGACAAUGGGCGAAAGCCUGAUCCAGCAAUGCCGCGUGAGUGAUGAAGGCCUUAGGGUUGUAAAGCUCUUUUACCCUGGAUGAUAAUGACAGUACCGGGAGAAUAAGCUCCGGCUAACUCCGUGCCAGCCGCCGCAGUAA